CGUUGUUUGGUUGAACUUCUCGGAGCUGUGGAGUGAAUUGUAGAGAGAGAGAGAGAUGGGGAGGAAGAAGGGAGUGGUGUUCGACGAGGCGGCGCCGGACGACUUCGAUCCGGAGAAUCCGUACAAGGACCCGGUGGCGAUGCUGGAGAUGAGGGAGCAUUUGGUGAGGGAGAAGUGGAUCGACAUCGAGACGGCCAAGAUCCUCCGCGAGAAGCUCAAGUGGUGCUACCGCGUCGAGGGCAUCAACCACCUCCAGAAGUGCCGCCACCUCGUCCGCCAGUACCUCGACGCCACCCGCGGCAUCGGCUGGGGCAAGGACCAGCGUCCUCCCUCCCUUCACGGUCCUAAGGUCGAGGCCGAGGCCGAGGCCGACUGACAACACUCUGCAAGGCGAGAGAAGAUAAGUGUGAGGAGAAACAAAAUUUGGUGUCCAUCCCUUUUGGAAUUAGUUAUUCACUAGAAAAGAGAAUCCGGAUGAAUGCGUUAUCCAACUCAUAAAUGAGGCAACUCAAAAUUAGUCCAUUCAGAGAUUCGGGGAUGAUCAAGUUUGGACCAUGAUCUUUCAUUUUUAAUCUUCAUUUUUAGGUGCGAGAUGAGAAUGAGUUUACGGUACUGAAUUUGGUGAGCUACUAGACUAUACAAAGUACCGAGGUUUACCGGUCAAUCCGUGUGGUUGCAUUCUACUUGUGUCCUUUUUCGUUCUUUCACUCUUGUUAAAUUACAAGGUCCAACUCUUUCGGCGACCGUUUUCAUGUUUAGUUCUUUUGUGUUUUGGCAUUGGAAACUGAAGAGAUUUGUAAUAAAUGGAAGGAUAUCAGAAGAUAGAAUAAGUUUCAUUCUCAAAUUCUCA